rnacentral:rRNA from 1 species
AGAGCGAACGCUGGCGGCAGGCUUAACACAUGCAAGUCGAGCGGGCGUAGCAAUACGUCAGCGGCAGACGGGUGAGUAACGCGUGGGAACAUACCUUUUGGUUCGGAACAACCCAGGGAAACUUGGGCUAAUACCGGAUAAGCCCUUACGGGGAAAGAUUUAUCGCCGAAAGAUUGGCCCGCGUCUGAUUAGCUAGUUGGUGAGGUAACGGCUCACCAAGGCGACGAUCAGUAGCUGGUCUGAGAGGAUGAUCAGCCACAUUGGGACUGAGACACGGCCCAAACUCCUACGGGAGGCAGCAGUGGGGAAUAUUGGACAAUGGGCGCAAGCCUGAUCCAGCCAUGCCGCGUGAGUGAUGAAGGCCCUAGGGUUGUAAAGCUCUUUUGUGCGGGAAGAUAAUGACGGUACCGCAAGAAUAACGCCCCGGACUAACUUCGCGCCAGCAGCCGC